AAACGACUCUCGGCAACGGAUAUCUCGGCUCUCGCAUCGAUGAAGAACGUAGCGAAAUGCGAUACUUGGUGUGAAUUGCAGAAUCCCGUGAACCAUCGAGUCUUUGAACGCAAGUUGCGCCCGAAGCGAGUCGGCCGAGGGCACGUCUGCCUGGGCGUCACGC
rnacentral:rRNA from 1 species